UUCCGGGUCAAUACUUUACGUGAGGUGGAAGUUGUCGGAGUCUUGGAUGGACCCUUCUUCAUUGAUUAUAUGAGAAAUUGAACGUCUUUUUCGUUCCUAUGGCGCUAGGGAAAAUAACAAAAAUAUUUAUUGGAUGGGCCAUACUUUUCCCACUGGGGGUAGCAGUUCAUGGUUUAUACCGAGCGAAUUCCACUACAGGCGAGAGGAUCAGACAAAGCAAACAGAGAAUUCGGGAAGCUGUGGAAGCCGAUGAUAGGAAACGCCGACUUAGGGAGCUUGGUCCAAGAUGAAUCUGCUUUCUUGUGACUAAAGAAAGAGGGGGAGGUGGUGUCUGUUGUCGCCAUUAUGUGAAAAUUCAAUUUUUUUGUUUUAAUUUUUUAGGUUUUUUUUAAAAUUAAAACAAAUUUACUUCCCAGGCAAAAGCUUUAAAUAGCAAGGUAUUUUGGGGUCAGACAAGGAACCCUCCUCCUCCCAUGCUCAUAAGUGACGUUUGUUGAUGUACAUUGGUACUGGUAUGCCACAACAAUGAUACGCAUCAAAAACAGCUGAGACAGUAAAACCGACUUUUAAACAUUAUGUACAGACUGUGUAGUAAUACACGAGAUCAAAUUGUUUUACUCCAUAACCUUUUUACAUUACGUGGUUGCAGUGAGCACUAACAAAAAUGACAGUCUAAAAAAUGGUGACAGAAAAAACAAAAAUGUAUCAGUGUAACUUUUUGUGUAUAAACUAUUGAACAUA